GAUGAACGCUGGCGGCGUGCCUAAUACAUGCAAGUCGAGCGAACAGACGAGGAUCUUGCUCCUCUGACGUUAGCGACGGACGGGUGAGUAACACGUGGAUAACCUACCUAUAAGACUGGGAUAACUUCGGGAAACCGGAGUAAAUACCGGAUAAUAUAUUGAACCGCAGGGGUCAGUAGUGAAAGACGGUUUUGCUGUCACUUAUCGACGGAUCCGCGCCUCAUUAGGUAGUUGGUAAGGUAACGGCUUACCAAGGCAACGAUGCGUAGCCGAGCUGAGAGGGGGAUCCGCCACACUGGAGCUGAGACACGGUCCAGACUCCUACGGGAGGCAGCAGUAGGGAAUCUUCCGAAAUGGGCGAAAGCCUGACGGAGCAACGCCGCGUGAGUGAUGAAGGUCUGCGGAUCGUAAAACUGUCUUAGUAGGGAAGAACAAAUGUGUAAGUAACUAUGCACGUCUUGACGGUACCUGAUCAGAAAGCCACGGCUAACUACGUG
rnacentral:rRNA from 1 species